rnacentral:miRNA from 1 species
AUACCCAGACGAACCUUUUGGC